UUAUAGCCAAGUUUGCAGACAAUCUACAUCUAACAUGAAUGCAUGCUUGUGUUCAUUCCUGACUCCCACAUCACAGUUUUCACUGCCGAAACUGAGGCUCCAGGGUUGGGCCCAGGAAUCUGCUUUGUGUACAGAGUACGUGAGCUAAUACGGAUAUGCUGCUAAUGCAGGAACCUGGAACUUCCUGGUUAGAAAAGCUCAAUUUGUUCAUCAUUUCUGCCCAGCCAUAGUGAGAUUUCUUUAUCAAUUGCCAAUAGAAGCAGGCAUGAGGGCAAAUGUGAAAUAAAAGCAGCCCUCUGCUGCUAUGUAAAAUCUGCUAUGUAAAAUCUUUUCAUGUUUGAAAGCACUUUGAAGUGAUAUCUUCUCAGCUUUCUUUAACUGGAUGGAGCAUUCAAAAAGGGCUUUCAGAAAAUGUAUCCCCAUCCCAGGGUUGUUCUGUCCUUUGCUUAAGAAACAAUCUUCCAAGCUGUUAGUUAAACUGAUCAUUAGCCAGCCACGAGUUAAAACAAAAGGCAGCUUCAGCUCAUCUUUAGUAUGGCUACUAAAAUCUCGAGGUGUUGGUGGUCGGUAUCAUCUUUUGAAAAAAGAUAAAUAUUUUGCCUCUGAUAUCUAAUGAUUACAGAAUAAGAUAUAAUUUCAGAAGUUAUAGCAUGUUACCAGUCAGUUUCCUAGGGACACAGAACCGAAAUGGACCAAACUGACAUUUGUCUGUGGCACUAAGCCUUUUUGUCUGGCACUGGUCUAGGGGUAGAGGAGCCAGUGGGACAAACCAAGGUUUCCCGUGCACUUACAUUCACUCUGGGGAGACAGACAAUAAAGAAGGAGUCAUCUUUGAUAUUUCUAAUCUAUAAACUGGCACGUUCCAAGUUACAAAAAAAAUGAUUAAAAUGGUUUAUUCAGAAUAUACCAUAGUGAGUUUCACAACACUGGGAACUGAAACAUUAGGAAACAAUCCACUUAAUCAUGGCCACUUACGCCCACUUUCCCAUGAGAGUUGCUGUCUACGGUUAUAAUUGAUUUCUUCUCCCCAGAGGCACAAUCCUGUCCCCAUGUCAUUUUUUACCUUAUUUCACAGUCCUGCCUUCUGUACUGAUGCUCAGAAAAAGCAGCAAAUUAGGAGAUUAGUUUUUCUCUUCCCUUUUACGUUUUCUAACUCAGGCAGCGAAACCAGUCUGAACUGGAUGAAGUAUUAAAUCCCUUCUCUGGAGUUUACCCAGAAACUAGGGAUACUCAGCUUGCAAGACUGCAAACUGAUACCUGCAUGUACCAGCCAAAAUGACAUCCUAUUUGUUAUUUUCUUCACGGUGCUACUCAUGUUUAGAAUUGUAAUAUUAGUCUAGGAGGAAAUACUGCUGUAAGAUUUUCACUUUUGUUUUUAGAAGAACAUGUAGUUUGUGUUUGAUGGAGUCUUUGGUACUUUGAUGUUUAGAGGAUGAUAAGCAAAUAGAAAGCAAAGAUUAAAAAUGAAAAAAAUACCUGUUUUUAGUAGCUACAUAUUUCAUAUCUAUUUUCCUUUCAUAGGCUGACAUCAUUUCAUGGAAAACUACUUUUUUUUUUCCUUUUUCAAGAAUAUAUCCACAGCAUAGAAGAUGGUAUGAAUGGGGUCAGAAUUUGGCAGCUCCUGAACGGAAGAAUAGAUGGGAAAGGUUUCGUUUAUCACCACGUUCGGUCUGCAAUGGUUGGAAGCCCAAGACAGGGAAGGAUUUUCCAUCUCACCAUGCUGCACAUAUGGCAACUGGAAUCCCGUACAGUGGCGGCCACACAGCUGUGUUUCUGUAGAGUUUUACAAGAUGUAUUGGUUCCUCUCAAUUGAGGACAGUUUAUUUUGGUGUCAUUAUGGAACCUGAGGAGAUCAUCCUUAGGGCCAAUAAAUCCAAGGGCCUGUCACCAUGUCUAUUUUGAUCAGAUGAUCCACCUAUCUCUCCCAGGCGGACAGCCAGUCUGGCAUGUGUUUCUUCUCUUCAGUUUCUGUGAAGGUACUUAAUGAACAAGGCACCUUUGGCUGUGUAACUGUUACCAAACCAACUGUAAUUAAAAUGUCCUCUCUGUGUCA